rnacentral:rRNA from 1 species
CCUUCAUGAAGUCGGAAUCGCUAGUAAUCGCGAAUCAGAAUGUCGCGGUGAAUACGUUCCCGGGUCUUGUACACACCGCCCGUCACACCAUGGGAGUCGGAAAUGCCCGAAGUCAGUGACCCAACCGCAAGGAGGGAGCUGCCGAAGGCAGGUCCGGUAACUGGGGUGAAGUCGUAACAAGGUAUC